rnacentral:lncRNA from 1 species
AGAAGAGAAGGCAGGCAGGAUCCACCUCUCACCUCUUCCCAAGCUGCCUGCCAGCGCAUUUCCUUGGCAGCCAGGGCAGCGUGUGUCCCAGGGCACGCACACAGGUCACUGUGCAGGACACAGAGCCACAGAGCAUAGGGCUCUGGGCACCAGGCUGGAAUCUGCAGCUGGGACAGGAGCAAGCAUGGUGGGGCAGCAGGCGCUACUGCUAGCUGGCUUGUUUUUGCCUGGGUUCCUGCUCUCUGAGGCUGCAAAAAUUCUGACUUCUUUUGCACUGGGUGAGUGCUUAGCUGGAGAAUCAGAAAGGGGCCCAUCCCAGGCCCCUGUGCCAGGGUUCAGUCACAGCCUUAGGUCAGAGGAUCAUUCCAUGUGGUGUUCUAGAGAGGGCUAGGGUCCCAGGCCAGAGGAGGGAGAGGCGUGAGAGGUCUGUGCGGUAGAAUGGGAUCCCUACUGCUGCGAUGGGGAAGUUAGUUUUGGGCUACCAGCAGUUUCCUUUCCUCUCUUUGUAUUUGCUCUGGAGCUGCUUCACAUUCUGCAUUCCUGGGGCCAGAAUGUAGAGCCAGUGCUGAGCUAGAAAUCGUGAGCUGCCCACCACAGGGCAUGGCAGGGACUUUCAGAGGCACAUGCUAAAAGUGUGGGACAGUAGAAAGUGGAAAGUGAAAUCAGUUUCACGCUCUUGGAGGCUAAGGACAGGGGCUCCUGGGGGCAGCAGCACUAACUGGGCAUGUUUCAUUAAUGGGAAACCUGGAGAACUGCCUGGGCAGUGGAGGGGGCCCUGGACGAUCAAGUUCUCGGUGCCCCUCUCUCUUUUGCCCUUACUGCUGGAAGGUGUUGACGGACUGUGAAGCAGUUAAUUUUGUGUGAACCCAGUUGUAAUGCCUUUAUUUUGUCCCAAAGGGAACAGAAGGGGAACAGGAACAUUUAUUAGGAAGAAGGUUUCAGAAGAUGGAGUUUCCUGAAGACUUUUUUGGAUCCAUUGUGACAGGCUAGGGGAUCUGCCCUGCCCCUGCCUCUGCCCCAGAAUGCACUGGGCUCACCAACACCUUCAGGAAUGGCUGUCUCUGCAGGAAGCCUUUUCUCAUGCAUCCAUUCUUUCCUUCCAUCCUUCUUGCCUGCCUUCCUUCCUUCCUUCCUCCUCUUCCUCCUUCUCUUCUUUCUUUCUUUCUUUCUUUCUUUCUUUCUUUCUUUCUUUCUUCUUUCAAGUUAGUUAACAUACGGUAUGGUCUUGGCUUCAGUAGUAGAACCCAGUGAUUCAUUUGUAACAUAUGACACCCAGUGCUCAAUCCAACAAGUUCCCUCCUUAAUACCUAUCACCCAUCUAACCCAUCUCCCCACCUACCUCCCCUCCGACAUCCCUCAGUUUGUUCUCUGUAUUUAAUGGUCUCUCAUAUUUUGCCUUCCUCUCUGUUUUUAUCUUAUUUGUCCUUCCUUUCCUCUUUGUUCAUCUGUUGUGUUUCUCAAAUUCCUCAUAUGAGUGAAAUCAUAUGAUAACUGUCUUUUUCUGACCUAUUUUGCUUAGCAUAAUACACUCUAGUUCCAUCUACGUUGUUGCAAAUGGCAAGAUUUCAUUCUUUUUCAUUGCUGAGUAGUAUUCCAGUAUGUAUGUAUGUAUGUAUGUAUGUAUGUAUGUAUGUGUGUAUAAGUUGAUGGACAUUUGCACUCUAUCCAUAAUUUUGCUAUGGAAAUUAUUUAUAGUGCUCCUAUAAACAUUGGGGUGCAUGUGCCCCUUUGAAUCAGAAUUUUUGUAUCCUUUGGAUAAAUUCCUAGUAGUGCAAUUGCUGGGUCAUAGGUUUGUUCUAUUUUUAUUCAUUUGUAUUUUAUUUUUCUCUUUUAAACAGAGGAUAUUUACAAUGAUGCUUUACUAUAUCCUUAAAAUUUAUUUUGUUCAUUUAUUUUUGAGAAAGAGAGAGAGAGACAGAGCAUGAGCAGGUGAGGGUCAGAGAGUGAAGGAGACACAGAAUCAGAAGCAAGCUCCAGGCUGUGCAUUGUCAGAACAGAGCCCCAUGCAGGGCUUGAACCCACAAACUAUGAGAUCAUAGGGUAGUUCUAUUUUUAAUUUUUUGAGGAAACUCCAUAGUAUUAUCCAGUGUGGCUGCACCAGUUUGCAUUCAAACCAACAGUGCAAAACGCUUCCCCUUUUUCUAAAUCCUCACCAACAUCUGUUGUUUUCUAAGUUGUUAAUUUUAGCCAUUCUGAUAGAUGUGGAGUGGUAUCUCAUUGUGGUUUGAUUUGUAUUUCUGAUGAUGUAUGAUGUUGAGCAUUUUUUUAAUGUGUCUGUUAGCCAUCUGGAUAUCUUCUUUGGAAAAGUGUCUUUUCAUGUCUUCUUCCCAUUUCUUCACUGGAGUAUUUGUUUUUUUGGGGUGUUAAGUCUGUUAAGUUCCUUCUAGAUUCUGGAUACUAAACCUUUAUCUGAUAUCUCAUUUGCAAAUAUCUUCUCUAAUUCCACUGGUUGCCUUUUAGUUUUGUUGGCUGUUUCCUUUGCUGUUCAAAAGAUUUUUAUCUUGAUGAGGUCCAAAAGUUCAUUUUUACUUUUAUUUCCUUUGCCUCUGAAGACAUGUCAAGUAAGAAGUUGCUGUGCCCUAGGUCAAAGAGUUUGCUGCCUGUUUUCUUCUCUAGGAGUUUGAUGGUUUCCUGUCCCACAUUUAGGUCAUUCAUCCAUUUUGAAUUUACUUUUGUGUGUGGUGUAAGAAAGUGGUCUAGUUUCAUUCUUCUGCAUGUCACUGGCCAGUUUUCCCAGCACCAUUUGUUAAAGAGACUGUCUUUCUUCCAUUGGAUAUGCUUUCCUGCUUUGUCAAAGAUUAGUUGGCCAUAUAUUUGAGGAUCCAUUUCUGGAUUCUCUAUCCUACUCCAUUGAUCUAUGUGUCUGUUUUUGUGUCAAUACCAUACUGUCUUGAUGUUUACAGCUUUGUUAACACAGGUUAAAGUCCAGGAUUAUGAUGCCUCCAGCUUUGGUUUUCUUUUUCAACAUUACUUUCUCUAUUCAGGGUCUUUAGUGGUUCCAUACAAAUUGUAGGAUUGUUUGUUUUAGUUCUGUGAAGAAUGCCAGUAUUAUUUUGAUAGGGAUUGCAUUGAAUGUGUAGAUUUAGAUAGCAUACACAUUUUAACAAUAUUUGUUCUUCAAAUCCAUGAACAUGAUAUGUUUUUUUUCAUUUCUUUGUGUCUUCUUCAAUGUCUUUCAUAAGGUUUAUAUAGUUUUCAGCAUACAGAUAUUUCACCUCUUUAGUUAGGUUCAUUCCUAGGUAUCUUAUGGGUUUUCGUGCAAUUGUAAAUGGGAUCAAUUCCUUGAAAUCUCUUUCUGCUGCUUCAUUAUUAGUAUAUAAAAAUGCAACCAAUUUCUGUACAUUGAUUUUAUAUCCUGCAUCUUGCCUGAAUUCAUGUAUUAGCUCUAGCAGUUUUUUGGUGGAGUCUUCAGGUUUUCCAUGUAGAGUAUCAUGUCAUCUUUGAAAAGUGAAAGAUUGACUUCUUCCUUACUGAUUUGGAUUUCUUUUAUUUCUUUUUGUUUUCUGAUUGCCAAGGCUAGGACUUCCAGUACUUUGUUGAACAAUAGUGGUGAGAGUGGACAUCCCUGUCUUGUUCCUGAUCUUAGAGGGAAAGCUCUGUUUUUCCCCACUGAGGAUGAUAUUAGUGGUGGGUCUUUCAUAUAUGGCUUUUAUGAUGUUAAGGUAUGUUCCUUCUAUCCCUUCUUUCUUGAGGGUUUUAUCAAGAAAUGAUGAUGUAUUUUGUCAAAUGUUUUUUUCUGCAUCUAUUGAAAGUAUCAUAUGGUUCUUAGUCUUUCUUUUAUUAAAACAAUUUUUUUUACAUUUAUUCAUUUUUGAGAGACAGAGAGAGACAGAGCACAAGCGGGGGAGGGGCAGAGAGAGAGGGAGACACAGAAUCCAAAACAGGCUCCAGGCUCCGAGCUGUCAAGACAGAGCCCAACGUGGGGCUCAAACCCACAAACCGCGAGAUCAUGACCUGAGCCGAAGUUGGACGCUCAACCGACUGAGCCACCGAGGAGCCCCUUAUCCUUUCUUUUAUUAAUGUGGUAUAUCAUGUUGAUUGAUUUGUGAAUAUUUAACUAGCCCUGCAGCCCAGGAAUGAAUCACAACUGAUCAUGGUGAAUAAUUCUUUUGAUGUACUGUUGAAUUCAAUUAAUAUCUUGUUGAGAUUUUUGCAUCCAUGUUCAUCAGGGAUAUUGGCCUGUAAUUCUUGUUUUUAGUGGGGUCUUUGUCUGGGUUUGCAAUCAAGGUGAAGCUAGAUUCAUAGAAUGAGUUUGAAGUUUUCCUUACAUUUCUAUUUUUUUGGAACAGUUUUAGGAGAAUAGAUAUUAAUUCUUCUUUAAAUACUUGGUAGAAUUCCCCUGGGGGGUCAUCUGGCCUAGGACUCUUAUUUGUUGGGAGAUUUUUGAUAAUCUAUUCAAUUUCUUUGCUGGUUAUGAGCCUGUUAAAUUUUCUGUUUCUUCCUGUUUGUGUUUUGGUAGUGUGUGUCUGGAAUUUUGUCCAUUUCUUCCAGAUUGUCCGUUUUGUUGGCAUAUAAUUUUCCAUAGUAUUCUCUUAUAAUUGUAUUUCUGUGGUGUUGGUUGUGAUCACUCCACUUUCAUUUGUGAUUUUAUCUGUUUGGGUCCUUACUCUUUUAUUUUUGAGAAGUCUGUCUAGGUAGUUUUCAAUUUUGCUUAUUUAAAAAAAAAACAGCUCUUAGUUUCAUUGAUCUGGUGUACUGUUUUGUUUUGUUUUUUUCUUUUUUGGAUCCUAAGUCAUUUAUUCUGCUCUAGUCUUUAUUAUUUCCCUUGUUCUGCUGGAUUUCGACUUAAUUUGCUGCUCCUUUUCUAACUCCUUUAGUUGUAAGGUUUGGUUGUGUAUUUGGGACCUUUCUUGCUGCUUGAGAUAGGUCUGAAUUACAAUGUAUUUUCCUCUUAGGACUGCCUUUUAUGCAUCUCAAAGGGUCUGGACAGUCAUGUUUUCAUUUUCAUUUGUUUCCACGUAUUUUUAAAUUUCUUCUUUAACUUCCUGGUUGACCCACUCAUUCUUUAGCAGGAUGUUCUUUAUCCUCAAUGUAUUUGAGUGCUUUCCAAAUUUUUUCUUGUGUUUGAUUUCAAGUUUCAUAGUGUUAUGAUCUGAAAAUAUGCAUGGUAAGAUCUCAAUCUUUUUGUACAUGUUGAGGGCUGAUCUGUCACCCAAUAUGUGAUCUAUUCUGGAGAAUGUUCCAUAUGCACCCAAGAAGAAUGUGUAUUCCGUUGCUUUAGGAUGAAGUGUUCUGAAUAUAUCUGUUAAGUCCAUCUGAUCCAGUGUGUCAUUCAAGACCAUUGUUCCCGAGUAGAUUUUCUGCUUAGAUAAUCUAUCCAUUGUUGUAAGUGGAGUAUUAAAGUCUCUUACAAUUAUGGCAUUAUUGUCAAUAAGUUUACUCAUGUUUGUGAUUAAUUGAUUUACAUAUUUGGGAGUUUCAAGUUGGGGGCAUAAAUGUUUACAAUUGUUAGCUUUUCUUGAUGGACAGACCCCUUAAUUAUCAUAUAAUGCCCUCCUUCAUCUUUUGUUACAGUCUUUGUUUUAAAGUCUAGUUUGUCUGAUAUAAGUAUGGCUACUCCAGCUUUCUUUUGACAUCCAGUAGCAUGAUAGAUGGUUCUCCAUCCCCUAACUUUCAAUCUGCAGAUGUCCUCAGGUCUAAAAUGGGUCUCUUGUAGGCAGCAUAUAGAUGGGUCUUGUUUUUUUUAAUCUAUUCUGAUACCCUAUGUCAUUUGAUUGGGGAAUUUAGUCCAUUUACAUUCAGAGUGAUUAUUGAAAGAUAUGAAUUUAGUGCCAUUGUGUUAUCUGUAGAUAACACAAUGUGGUUUUGUGUUUGUGGUGAUGUUGUCUGGUCAUUUGUAGUCUUUGCUGCUUUCCACUCACAGAGUCCCUCUUAGAAUUUCUUGCAGGACUGGUUUAGUGGUCACAAACUCCUUUAGUUUAUGUUUGCUUGGAAGCUCUUUAUUUCUCCUUUUCUGAAUGACAGCUUUGCCGAAUAAAGGAUUCUUGGCUACAUAUUUUUCUUAUUCAUCAUAUUAAAUGUUUCCUGCCAUUUCCUUCUGGCCUGCCAAGUUUCAGUGGAACCUUAUGUGUCUACCUUUGUAGGUGAAGGACAUUUUGUCCCUAGAUGCUUUCAGAAUUCUCUCUUUAUCUUUGUAUUUUGCAAGUUUCACUAUGAUAUGUCGUGGGGUUGACCUUUUUUUUUGUUGAUUUUGAAGGGAGUUCUCUGUGCCUCUUGGACUUGGAUGCCUGUUUUUUUCCCCCAGAUUAGGGAAGUGCUCAGCUAUAAUUUGUUCAAAUAAACCUUCUGCCCCUUUUUGCUCUUCUUUUUCUGGGACUCCUCUGAUAUGGAUAUUGUUUUGUUUCAUGGAAUCACUUAGAUCUCUAAUUCUCCCCUGUGGUUUAGUACUUUCCUCUCCCUCUUUUUUUCAGGUUUAUUAUUUUCCAUAGUUUUAUAUUUUAUUUCACCUAUUCUCUCCUCUGCUUCUUCAAUCCUCACUGUCACUAUAUCUAGUUAUUUUGCAUCUCCAUAUUGCAUUUUUAAAAUUCAUCCUGACUAGUUCUUUGGUCUUUGAUCUCUGUGGCAAGUGUUUCUCUGGUGUCUUCUAUGCUUUUCUUCAAGCCUAGCUAUCAGUCUUAUGACUAUCUUUCUAAAUUUUGUUCAGAUGUAUUUUUUAUAUCUGUUUUGAGCAAGUCUCUGGCUGUGAUUUCUUCUCAACCUUUCUUAUGGGGAGAAUUCCUCUGGCCUGUCACUUUGCUUAAGUUUCUCUCAUUUGCAUUUUUUAAAAGCCUGUCAUGUGUCCUGCAUCUGAGAGUACUACUAUAUUAAAAAUGAGUCAUACACUGUCCAGGGCCUGGCACUCCAGGAAGUGUUUCUGGUGUAUGUUGAAGGCACUCUGCUGUUGCGUUUUGGCUGCUCUAUCCCACUGGUCAAUCCUUUGCAGAGCUCCUCCUUGCUUCAACUAGGUGUGCUUUGAUUUGUUUGUUGAGGUAACCCUAGGAAAAAAAGGAUGGGGGAAACCUGAUCCCAUAAAAAGAGAAAAAGGAAAGUGGAGAACAGAAAAACAAAAAGAAUAAAAAAAAAACAAAACAGAAAAUUAUAAGCCUGAUUCCAAAGAAAGAGUAGGAAAAAAAUAAAGAAAAAAGUAGAAUAAAAGAGAAAAGAUGAAACAAAAAGAGAAUAAAUGAAGUCUGAUAUACAUAUACAUAUACAAAUGUAUAUGUACAUCAAUAUAUGUCUAUAUAUGUAUAUCUAUCUAUAUAUAGAUAUAGAUAUAUUGAUAUACAUAUACAUAUACAUAUGUGUGUGUAUAUAUAUGUGUGUGUGUGUAUAUAUAUAUAUAUAUAUAUAUAUAUAUAUAUGGUAAGAAAUGACAAAAAAAAAAUCAGAAACCAUGAGCCUGAUUCCAAGAGAAAAAAAAGAAAAAAGAAGAAGGAGGAAAGAAAGAGAGAAAAAAGAAAAAAAAGUUGUCUGUUGGCGCCUGGGGCUGGUGGCUGUGCUUUUCUGGAGGAGAGACUGGCUGCGAUGGGUCAGCCAGUCUUGCUCCAGUAAAUAAGCAGUUUCCAGGCAUGGAGGGGAGGGUUUAGGUGUAAUCAGUCCUGCUUCCACUGGGAGCCACUGUGUUGCUCUCCAAUGUCCCACUGUGUUGGUGUUGGGGAGAAAAUGACAUCACUCCAAUCUCUCAACCCUGGACCAGGGAUCUCAACCCUAUCUUAUCAGGCAGCCCUCACAGAAUAGAGAAUGCAGUCAGCUUGCCCUGCUCCACAGUUCUCCUGCACCUUCUUGUCGCUCAUCUGGAUUCAAAAUCUGAAGUCUUAAAGGACUCAGCACCGUACAGCAAUGCUCCCCAGCUCCAGAGUAAAGCCUCUCCCCACUGCUGAUGAAAGGCCUUUGGCUGGCACCUGCAGGGUCUUUUGUCCUUGGGGAGACAAAAACCCUUCAUCUCAAAGUACUCUGAGAAGAGAAUUAUUCUCUCCCCGGACACGCCAGAGAUUGCUACACCACACUAUGCACUCUGGGGUGGCUGCUUCCUCGCCAGGAGCAUGAGCCAGGGUUCCAGUCUGGGUAAAGUUGCACACUUCUGAAAACUCUGAGUUUCAAUUCCAAGGCUGUUGCAAACAAAGAGUUGGGACACUCAGUACUUCUUGCUCCCAAGUCCAUAGUCCAGAGAAGCUUGCUCUUGUCCUAACUCCAUGCUGCACUUUCAUAAUCCCUUUCUCUUUCUCUCCCGUUUGUCUCUCCACAGAAGGGGUUCUCUCUCCUCUAUGCUCUGCUACUGUAUAUCCCUAAAAUCACAUAUAUCCACCUCAAUCCUGCCAAGCUGUAUCCCUCCAAAUGUGGAGAUCAUUUGGCUGCUCUGCAGUUCAAUUUCCUGGGUGUUCUAAGUGAUCUGACACCAAUACAGCUGUGUUUGAGUGGCAAGGCCCUCCUACUUCUCUGCCAUCUUAACUCUCCUCUCCCUGCAUCCAUUUCUUGCAUAGGUUAAAGGUAAGCUAGAGCAAGCAGUCUGAGGGGGUAAGGGUUUGUAUUUUAUGUAAUCUGUGUUACCUCAGGAAACACAAACACAAAUUAAAAAUUAGAGUAAUUCCCACAGACACACCAUUACUGUAGUCAUACAUCCCACUCUGCUGACCUAAUCACUACAAAGUCGUUAUCUUCCAAAGUACCCCUCUUUCCAACGUGGGCAAAUUCUAUUCUUUUCUUCCUGAUUGGACAUUCUCUGCUCUGAGACCCAUAGAUUCAAGAGAAAUGCUCCUUGAUGGUGCAUAGUUUUAGACAAUCAUUGCAAGAUAGAACCAGUACUUCCCCUAGGAGUAAGCUUCUCUUUCCUUAGAAUCUCACGAUUUUCUUAGGAUAGGUGAUGCCUUGGGGCGCCUGGGUGGCGCAGUCGGUUAAGCGUCCAACUUCAGCCAGGUCACGAUCUCGCGGUCUGUGAGUUCGAGCCCCGCGUCAGGCUCUGGGCUGAUGGCUCAGAGCCUGGAGCCUGUUUCUGAUUCUGUGUCUCCCUCUCUCUCUGCCCCUCCCCUGUUCAUGCUCUGUCUCUCUCUGUCCCAAAAAUAAAUAAACGUUGAAAAAAAAAUUAAAAAAAAAAAAAAAAAAGGGAUAGGUGAUGCCUAACUCUGUCAUGUGCAGGAUCUUACAGUUAUGCCCCAAUGACCACAGUUAUCCUAAAUGCCUUAAUUUCAUGUUCAGGCCUAACUGGAAACUUGGAAUCCUGCUAAAUAUAUUUGAAUCUCAAGGAUUUUGUUUCAUUUUUAAAAAGUUUUUAAUGUUCAUUUAUUUUUGAGAGAGAGAGAGAGAGAGAGAGAGAGAGNNNNNNNNNNNNNNNNNNNNNNNNNNNNNNNNNNNNNNNNNNNNNNNNNNNNNNNNNNNNNNNNNNNNNNNNNNNNNNNNNNNNNNNNNNNNNNNNNNNNNAGGCCCGACGCAGGUUCGAACUCACAAGCUGUGAGAUCAUGACCUGAGCUGAAGUCAGACGCUUAACCUAUUGAGCCACCCAGAUGCCCCUUAAGGAUUUUGUUUCUAAGUGGUGGAUCUAACUCCUUCUGCUUUAAUGACUAUUUCUUGGACUAAUAUUCAAUAUCCCAUGUUUCUAAUUCCCCCUCUAACAUGAAUUUACAUGGAGAAUGAUUCCAUAAAGAGUGCUGACUGAUUAUCCAAUAGGAAGCCUUCCUAUUUCCAUUUACAGCAGUGUGCCUAAUUUCCACCAGUACAGUUAUUUCUUCAGGACAUGGUAUCUCCACAAGGCCUGGCUAAAAUGAGCAUGUCGCUAGGAUCAGGAACCACUUGAGGACUAAGCAGAGAAGUUCAUCACACUGACAUGGAGGCCAUGAGCCACAGGGAAAUUUUUGAUGGAGGAUUACCACAGGUCAAAAUUUGGGAAGCCCUCAGCUGGGGCUUACCUUAAGUGAGACAGUGGGGCUGAAGAAACUCAUCUUCCUGUGCUCACCAUCAACUUUCUGCCCCCUUACCAUGGAUUUCCCAACUGCCACAUCAAUUUCAGAGCCUCUGUUCACAGCUUUACAAAAAUGAAAUUUUGUGUUGUUCCUAGGUGGAAGCCAUUAUCUACUACUGGACCGUGUAUCUGAGAUUCUUCAAGAUCAUGGUCAUAAUGUCACUAUGCUUUUUUACGGAGAAGAGUUUUUAACCCCAGG